UACGGAGGGUGCAAGCGUUGUUCGGAUUUACUGGGCGUAAAGCGCGCGCAGGUGGCUGAACAAGUCGGGUGUGAAAUCUUGAGGCUCAACCUCGAGGCUGCUCCCGAAACUGUUCGCCUAGGGACUGGUAGAGGCUGGUAGAAUUCCCGGUGUAGCGGUGGAAUGCGUAGAGAUCGGGAAGAAUACCUGUGGCGAAGGCGGCCAGCUGGGCCAGAUCUGACACUGAGGCGCGAAAGCGUGGGGAGCAAACAGG
rnacentral:rRNA from 1 species